AAUAACAUGGUAAACAACUCAAAUGGCUUUUUUUAAUGCUAGGAAAAAAUGUUCACCUUUCAAUGGUGAAAGUACUGUUGACACAGGUAAAGAGGCAACAAGGUAAAAAGUGAGAGCACAGACAGACACACACAGAUAUAUAUAAAAAUUGACCAGAAAUCACAGGACAUUGAAGCAAUGUUUUCUUAAGUAGAACUAUUUUUCUUGUACUUUAAAUAGACUAAAAUAUUUGGUGUGGGUGGGGGAAGGAAAUCAGUAUUUCACAAUUUUAACUUGAAAACCAGCUGUAAUAAAGCCUCAGCUCAUUGUUUAAUUAAAAAAAUGGAACCACAUCGCACUUUGACAAUCAUAGGAUUAAAGCUUACAAAGAACACAUCUACCAUCUACAUCACAGUGCACAGAGGAUGCAGUCUCCGAGGACUACCACAGGGAAACGAGAGCAGACUGCAUCCAUCGUAUUGCAUUACAAAAUUAAUGCCGUAUUAGGAAAUCUCACCUCCUGUGGUUGGGGUUCUGGCUGGGUAAGCACCUGACAGUAGGAGGCUAUCGGAAAAGAAGUGAGGGGCACUGCUCAGUCUGGUUCAGGACAGCCAGUUCCAUCACCUGCCACUGGCUGAUGCAUUUAGUAAUCUCAAUACAACAUCCACUGAGAAUAAAUAUAAUACCACAUUCUAGUCUUGAGCAGGAUAGUCUGGGGAACGUAGUGGAGGAUAGAGCAUCCAAGGCCAUAUUUUCCCUCAAGAGAGAAGAAAUCCACACCACCACUGUUUUCUUUAACUGUGAAAAAUUUGAAAUUCGGAUUCAAUUUAUCGCCAUAAAGACGUGACUUGUACUUACAUAGACACACAGAUUCUGAAGAACUUAGCUAUCUAGCUGCCUCUUCUCUAUUUCAUUAAAUCACUGGUUUCCUUCCCUGGAUUACUUAGUCUCACCACCACAUAGGUGCCAUUAGCUAUUAUUUGUUACAAAUCUCAUGUUCCAUCCACAGGACUAAGUGAUUGGACAGUGCAUAACCAAGUAUCAGAAAUGUUGACGACCAUAGGGCAGCUGAAUUGAAUUGUAACUAUUACGUUUAGGGAAUGACGGUAAUCACAAGAAUACCUGGGGUGAUCGGCACCUCCUGGGGUGCCUGGGACUUUCCGGGGUUUAGCACUGAAAGUCCUGCAUCCAGGAGACCCCUCAAUCCCAGGCACACUAGGGCAGUUGGUCAAGAACACCACUCACUCCUUCCUUAGUAUCACUAGAAAAAGGGUAAGAAUUUUCACAAGCACAAGGCUAUCUAUGAGGGCAUCAGCUCAAAAAUAUUUUUAGGACAUUUGCUAACAGCUAGUUCCUAGGAGUCCAUAAAUAUCUUAUUUAACGGUGUCAAUUUUAAGAACAGCUGGUAUCACUUAAGCAAAUUUGUGAGUAGUGUAGAAAAGUUCAUGCUUGAAACCUGUUUUCAGACAAAUCCUCUAAAGGUUCUUCUGGGUUUGUCCGGUUAAAUAGCAUUUUACUGUAUCUUUUUUGAGAUUCCCAGAGCUAAAUGAAUAAUCCAGUUUUAUACAUCUUUUCAUAUUCUUUUUUUUAGGUGAAAACACUCUCUGCCAACCUUUUCCCACAUUCUUGCUUCAUAUAUUGAAAAGACGGCUGCCAACUGGAGAUAUUUCCCUUGGAUUACAAAGGCCCCAAAUUAUGUUACUUUUAACUGUGCUCCACCAGAAGGUCUGGCCUUGGGAAAAGACGGCAAAAACAAUAUUCUCAGAUAUGAACGUUGUUUUGCCUGCAAUGCUGGGAUCUAGUUCAACAACUGUGGAACUACUUUCAUCUUAAUCUCUAUAGUUUUUCUUGUUUUGCCCUCUUGUAUAAAAAUGGUUAGUGUCACAGCUUCACUAUCACUAAUAGAAAGAUACAAAUAUUUAUGCUUUAAAGUCAGGGUCAAAAAAGCAAAAAAGAAGCCUGAGGUAAAGUUGGUCUAAGAAAUGACCUAUUUGGGUUCUGCAUUUUGUCAAGAAAUAGGGUUUUUAAAAAAAAAUUUAAAAACCAUUCAUGUUACCUAUCUGCUACAUAUGUGAUAACUAUCUCUUCCAAUUUAAAUUAAUCGUGUCUAUUAGUUACACGAACCGACAAAUGACUACAUUCUCAAAGCAGGCACAUACAUUCACCAGAAAAGGACCCUCUUCUUUCUCACCAUUUUUUUUUUGCUUGAGCAAUUCAAGUGUUUGAAUAAUGAGAGUGACAAACAGAUAUUUUCUUAGUGACUUACUGAGAAAAAGAAAAUCUCCUUGGAAGAAGAGACUUUAGUGAGACUUCUAUUCCUACAGACAAAUGCUGAGCACCAACUUUAUGCUACAGCAUUGUAAAGGGUAGAACUUAAUAUAGAACCAGAAAUAUGGCAAGUUAUCUAGUGACUAACAUUGUAAAACAGCCAAAAGCUUUAAAGCCACAAGGAGAAAGAACAACGUUAAGAGUGUGAAAUGGAAUAGUUUUCUCAUAAUUCUAAAACUUUACUUUUGUCUUUAAAUCAAUAUAUUAUGGAUUUCAUGCUUCAAGAAAUUAUCAUCUUUAGUUAGAAAUAGGAAGUAAAUCCCUACCCUCCACCCAACAGAGCAAACUGGAAAUUUUGGAGAAAUUAAGAGGGUUUUUUUGGAGAGUAAGAGAAUAUCAUUUUUUAAGAAAUUCUUGGAAAAAAUCUAAAAGUCCUUUGGGUGGAGAUAAUGAAUCCUUCUUACUCCCAUCGCAGAUGCAUUAUUCUUCCAAGGGCCCCUUACAUUUCAAUGGUGAAAUUUUGGGUUUAUUAUGGAUCUCAUGGCAGCCAACCAACUGACACUGAAGUUCACUUAGGCUAUACUCUGGUCAGAUCCUCCGUGAAUCAAAGACGACCCAAAGAACUUUGGAAAUCCAUUCCUGCUGAGCAAGGCUAAGGCAGGCAGGUCUGAAGCACUGUCAGGCUACCCUUAAAUACAGGAGGAACUUGACUUUCAGUAGUGGUACUUUCCGGGUAUCUUAAGCAGCAAUCUUUCACCAGG
rnacentral:lncRNA from 1 species